rnacentral:tRNA from 5 species
GGGGAGGUUCCCGAGCGGUCAAAGGGGGCAGACUGUAAAUCUGUUGGCUCAGCCUUCGAAGGUUCAAAUCCUUCUCUCCCCA